rnacentral:rRNA from 1 species
CGAAAGUCUGAUCCAGCCAUGCCGCGUGCGGGAAGAAGGCCUUCGGGUUGUAAACCGCUUUUGUCAGGGAAGAAAAGCGCUGGGCUAAUACCCCGGCGUCAUGAUGGUACCUGAAGAAUAAGCACCGGCUAACUACGUGCCAGCAGCCGCGGUAAUACGUAGGGUGCGAGCGUUAAUCGGAAUUACUGGGCGUAAAGCGUGCGCAGGCGGCUUUGCAAGACAGAUGUGAAAUCCCCGGGCUCAACCUGGGAGCUGCAUUUGUGACUGCAAGGCUAGAGUACGGUAGAGGGGAGUGGAAUUCCGCGUGUAGCAGUGAAAUGCGUAGAUAUGCGGAGGAACACCGAUGGCGAAGGCAGCUCCCUGGACCUGUACUGACGCUCAUGCACGAAAGCGUGGGGAGCAAACAGGAUUAGAUACCCUGGUAGUCCACGCCCUAAACGAUGUCAACUGGUUGUUGGGAGGGUUUCUUCUCAGUAACGUAGCUAACGCGUGAAGUU